rnacentral:rRNA from 1 species
AGUGAACGCUGGCGGUAGGCCUAACACAUGCAAGUCGAACGGCAGCACAGUAAGAGCUUGCUCUUACGGGUGGCGAGUGGCGGACGGGUGAGGAAUACAUCGGAAUCUACUUUUUCGUGGGGGAUAACGUAGGGAAACUUACGCUAAUACCGCAUACGACCUACGGGUGAAGCAAGGGGUCUUCGGACCUUGCGCGAUUGAAUUAGCCGAUGUCGGAUUAGCUAGUUGGCGGGGUAAAGGCCCACCAAGGCGACGAUCCGUAGCUGGUCUGAGAGGAUGAUCAGCCACACUGGAACUGAGACACGGUCCAGACUCCUACGGGAGGCAGCAGUGGGGAAUAUUGGACAAUGGGCGCAAGCCUGAUCCAGCCAUACCGCGUGGGUGAAGAAGGCCUUCGGGUUGUAAAGCCCUUUUGUUGGGAAAGAAAGGCAGCAGGUUAAUACCCCGCUGUUCUGACGGUACCCAAAGAAUAAGCACCGGCUAACUUCGUG